GUCUGUUGUGUUUCUACGUCAUGAUAACAUGAUAUGUGCUGCACCGCUAGAGCAUGUUAGAAAUGGAUUAGAUCACGAACUGAUUUAAACAUACUUUUAUUUAAUAUUUCAAUGAAAAAAAUGAAUGUUUUUGUAGACGUUUUGUUUCUCGUUGCUUUACAUCAAGCAAGUGCACACCAAUAUGUUAAAAUUCUGACUGUCACACCCGGACUGUCAACUGUUUUGACAUGUCAUGUCAGGAGUACAGAUGACAUUAAAGAGGUUAUAUGGGUCGGACCUUCAGGAAAUCCGCUUACCAUUGGAAAACGCAAUGUAACAACAGAUUCACGAAUUUAUGUAAAACAACCUUAUGCAAAUGUAUGGAAACUACACAUAACCAGAGUUAAACUGAGUGACGCCGGGGAUUAUACCUGCAAAGUAGAAACAACACCACCUCAAAUUUCAAAAGUAAAGUUAGUUGUUAAAGAAACACUAUCAACAUCGACGAUUUCUCCAACAAAAGCAGAUCCAACUGGUAUGGCACCGAGUUUACGAAUGAAGUAUUUCGAAGUUUUUUGUGCCGUUUUAUCAAUAUCAUUUCUAGUUGUUUAAUAAUUGUGAUGAACGUGCAAAUACAACAAUUACAUGUU